GUGCUUGCUUCCAAGGCAUAUAUACUAAAAUUGGAAGGACAGAGAGAAGAUAAGCAUGGCCUCUCUGCAAGGAUGACAGUCAAAUUCAUGAAGCAUUCCAUAUUUUU